rnacentral:snoRNA from 1 species
AUGGAAAUGAUGACCCUUUCCCCAGCUGAUCGACUACGAUUACACUGUGCGCAAUUGCGAUGCCUUCUCCGCGGAGAAAGGAUCCCAAGCCAGAAUUCUGAUCCAU